CUACACAACCUACUGUCUCUC
rnacentral:miRNA from 14 species